UACGUAGGGUGCAAGCGUUAGUCGGAAUUAUUGGGCGUAAAGAGCUCGUAGGCGGUUUGUCGCGUCUGCUGUGAAAACUGGGGGCUCAACCCCCAGCCUGCAGUGGGUACGGGCAGACUAGAGUGCGGUAGGGGAGAUUGGAAUUCCUGGUGUAGCGGUGGAAUGCGCAGAUAUCAGGAGGAACACCGAUGGCGAAGGCAGAUCUCUGGGCCGUAACUGACGCUGAGGAGCGAAAAGCAUGGGGGAGCGAACAGG
rnacentral:rRNA from 1 species